GGCGAGAUGGCCGAGCGGUCUAAGGCGCUGGAAUCAGGUGGCUACGUAAAAAAACACAAACACCCAUCCAGUCCGAAAGGGCGGGGGUUCGAAUCCCCCUCUCGUCA